AUGAACGCUGGCGGCGUGCCUAAUACAUGCAAGUCGAGCGAACAGACGAGGAGCUUGCUCCUCUGACGUUAGCGGCGGACGGGUUAGUAACACGUGGAUAACCUACCUAUAAGACUGGGAUAACUUCGGGAAACCGGAGCUAAUACCGGAUAAUAUAUUGAACCGCAUGGUUCAAUAGUGAAAGACGGUUUUGCUGUCACUUAUAGAUGGAUCCGCGCCGCAUUAGCUAGUUGGUAAGGUAACGGCUUACCAAGGCAACGAUGCGUAGCCGACCUGAGAGGGUGAUCGGCCACACUGGAACUGAGACACGGUCCAGACUCCUACGGGAGGCAGCAGUAGGGAAUCUUCCGCAAUGGGCGAAAGCCUGACGGAGCAACGCCGCGUGAGUGAUGAAGGUCUUCGGAUCGUAAAACUCUGUUAUUAGGGAAGAACAAAUGUGUAAGUAACUAUGCACGUCUUGACGGUACCUAAUCAGAAAGCCACGGCUAACUACGUG
rnacentral:rRNA from 1 species